GUCAAACAGUCUUUCGUCUGAAAUUGUUGACCAGAUCAUAUUUCUAAAUAAGAACAAAAUCAAAGUGACCGGCGGUGAACCCUACGCAACAGAUUAGGGACAUUUUUAACGGUGUUUGUAUACGGAUCAACACUUUCAUGGAUUAAUAAUUAACUCGUCACAAGCCAUAAAACUCACCUUUGUUUGUUAAUCAAGACUUCUAUGUAAACGUGAUUGGUAUGAGAUGUACAAUUAAAUUAAUUUAAUCACUCUGUAUUUUAAACUUAACUAUAAUUGUUUAAUAUUAAAAAAAAACAAAAGUCGAAAAUAAACUGACAACGUCAUGGCUUUAAAAAAAAAAGAAAAUCAGAUAAACGAUGGUGCAAAAAGGGAAGACUAAGCAAC
rnacentral:lncRNA from 1 species